CAGAGGUUUAACUAACAUGAUCAAGAUCUCCUAACCAGUUAAGUGGUGAAGUUGGAAUUUUUACCCAAGUCUGUUUGCUAAAUAUAUCAUUACAUCUGCAUAGGACCAGCUACAUAACUUGUAGCGCCCAGUGCAAAAUGAAAAUACACCCUAGGCUGUGAUCCUAGAACUGAACAUCUGAUGAGUCAAUACAGGGCACAGAGUAGUGCUCUUUUCCCUGAGCCGUGAGACCUGCAUCUCAGGUUGCAGAAAACAUGUGGAGCAGAGGUACAGAGCCUUAACUUUGCUGCAGCAAAAAUAAAGACUUUGAAGUCCUCCAUUGGAUCUGCUUGGAAGAUGAGGGAAAUGAGAGAGUGUGGAGAGAGAUUUUGUAAGUCGGGUCUGGAAGUGGUCAUUGUUCAGAAUCCAGCCACGUGGCUACAUGGAACUGUAAGAAUGUUCUGUGGACACUACAGAUGCAGACUAAAUUACCUGCAAAGUGAAUCUGUCAGCCCUAACAAUAAGAAUGGCUCUUUUAUGAUGAGCAGAUCAGACCAGGUAAUUUCUGAAGAAAGAGAGUGAAGUGUUCAUCGUAGUCUACUCAUGGAGGAAAGAAGGU
rnacentral:lncRNA from 1 species